rnacentral:rRNA from 1 species
CAGUUCGGCUGGACCGGAUACAGGUGCUGCAUGGCUGUCGUCAGCUCGUGUCGUGAGAUGUUGGGUUAAGUCCCGCAACGAGCGCAACCCUCGCCCUUAGUUGCCAGCAUUUAGUUGGGCACUCUAAGGGGACUGCCGGUGAUAAGCCGAGAGGGAAGGUGGGGACGACGUCAAGUCCUCAUGGCCCUUACGGGCUGGGCUACACACGUGCUACAAUGGUGGUGACAGUGGGCAGCGAGCACGCGAGUGUGAGCUAAUCUCCAAAAGCCAUACUCAGUUCGGAUUGCACUCUGCAACUCGAGUGCAUGAAGUUGGAAUCGCUAGUAAUCGCGGAUCAGCAUGUCCGCGGUGAAUACGUUCCCGGGCCUU